rfam:Shigella dysenteriae Sd197, complete genome.
AUUCUGCCCAAGCGGGGAAGGAUGAGAAGCUUCGACCAAGGUUCGACUUGAGCGCCAGCGAGAGAGCGUUGCCGCAGGCAACGACCCGAAGGGCGAAGCGCGCAGCGCUGAGUAAUCCUUCCCCCACCACCA